rnacentral:tRNA from 1 species
UGUGUCUCAGUGGUAGAAUAUCUACUUGUAAUGCAGAAGGUUCCCGGUUCAAUCCCUGGCUAAAAAG